GACGAACGCUGGCGGCGUGCUUAACACAUGCAAGUCGAACGGAAAGGCCCUGCUUUUGUGGGGUGCUCGAGUGGCGAACGGGUGAGUAACACGUGAGUAACCUGCCCUUGACUUUGGGAUAACUUCAGGAAACUGGGGCUAAUACCGGAUAGGAGCUCCUGCUGCAUGGUGGGGGUUGGAAAGUUUCGGCGGUGGGGGAUGGACUCGCGGCUUACCAGCUUGUUGGUGGGGUAGUGGCUUACCAAGGCUUUGACGGAUAGCCGGCCUGAGAGGGUGACCAGCCACCUUGGGACUACGAUACGGACCAGACUCCUACGGGAGGCAACGGUGGAGAGUAUUGCACAAUGGGCGGGAGCCUGAUGCGGCGGCGCCGCGUGCGGGAUGACGGCCUUCGGGUUGUAAACCGCUUUCGCCUGUGACGAAGCGUGAGUGACGGUAAUGGGUAAAGAAGCACCGGCUAACUACGUG
rnacentral:rRNA from 1 species